rnacentral:rRNA from 1 species
UACGAAGGGUGCAAGCGUUACUCGGAAUUACUGGGCGUAAAGCGUGCGUAGGUGGUUCGUUAAGUCUGUCGUGAAAGCCCCGGGCUCAACCUGGGAAUGGCGAUGGAUACUGGCGGGCUAGAGUGCGGUAGAGGAGAGUGGAAUUCCCGGUGUAGCAGUGAAAAUGCGUAGAGAUCGGGAGGAACAUCAGUUGCGAAGGGCGGCUCUCUGGACCAGCACUGACACUGAGGCACGAAAGCGUGGGGAGCAAACAGG